GACGUAGGGCGCGAGCGUUGUCCGGAUUUAUUGGGCGUAAAGAGCUCGUAGGCGGCUUGUCGCGUCGACUGUGAAAACCCACGGCUUAACUGUGGGCUUGCAGUCGAUACGGGCAGGCUAGAGUUCGGUAGGGGAGACUGGAAUUCCUGGUGUAGCGGUGAAAUGCGCAGAUAUCAGGAGGAACACCGGUGGCGAAGGCGGAUCUCUGGGCCGUAACUGACGCUGAGGAGCGAAAGCAUGGGGAGCGAACAGG
rnacentral:rRNA from 1 species